rnacentral:lncRNA from 1 species
GCUGCAUCGAGAUUGAAUAUAAUGGGUCUGUGUAUACAGCGGCACAGCAAAUAGCAUCUAACACAACAGUUAUUGAAGAACACAGUCUAUAUUCUCAGUGCACACGGAAGGAGGUAUUCCCCUGUAUCCAGUGGGAGGGAGGAGGAACUAAAGGAUUUAGCACUCCCUAUUGUGUUAGCUUCAGAACAGCAAAGAGUUGAAGAAUCAGUGGGAUUAGAAAUCAGAUACAAAGAAUCUCAAGAUUGGAGAACCAAAGAGCCAUCUAGUUCCAUCCACACCUGAAGAGGAACACACACUUCAAUGUACUCAACAAUUGAACAUGCAACCUUGGCUUAAAGACCUCUAAUGUAGGGGAAGAGAGACCAAACUCUGUCUAGGACAACCCAUUCCACCCUUGGACAGUCCUGGUUAUUUGUAAAUUCUUGACUUCAAUCCCAAAUUUGCCUAUUUGAAACAUUCAGCAAAUGUUCUGAGCUCUGUUUUCUGGUUUCAAUAAUUCAUAUUCUUCUUCCACAUGACUUUUAGGCACCACAAAACUCUCUCUAAAAAACUUCUCCCAUUCCCUCCCUUCCUCCCCAUAACCCAUUCUCUCUCUCUCU